GUGAGGAAUAUUGGUCAAUGGACGAGAGUCUGAACCAGCCAAGUAGCGUGAAGGAUGAAGGUCCUACGGAUUGUAAACUUCUUUUAUAAGGGAAUAAACCCUCCCACGUGUGGGAGCUUGUAUGUACCUUAUGAAUAAGCAUCGGCUAACUCCGUGCCAGCAGCCGCGGUAAUACGGAGGAUGCGAGCGUUAUCCGGAUUUAUUGGGUUUAAAGGGAGCGCAGACGGGUCGUUAAGUCAGCUGUGAAAGUUUGGGGCUCAACCUUAAAAUUGCAGUUGAUACUGGCGUCCUUGAGUGCGGUUGAGGUGUGCGGAAUUCGUGGUGUAGCGGUGAAAUGCUUAGAUAUCACGAAGAACUCCGAUUGCGAAGGCAGCACACUAAGCCGUAACUGACGUUCAUGCUCGAAAGUGUGGGUAUCAAACAGGAUUAGAUACCCGGGUAGUCC
rnacentral:rRNA from 1 species